GUAUGUAUGUGUGUAUAUAUAUACAUCUAUCUCUAUAUCUAUAUCUAUAUCCAUAUCUAUAUGUCUCACCCAGGAGAGAGUGCAUAUGCGUGAGAGAGAAGCAAGAAGGAAUAAGGAAAACAAAAGUAAAGGGAGUGAGAAGAGGAAGAGUUAAUGAAUAGUUUUCUCUCAUUCUGCUAAAAAUGCCUGUAUGCUCUCUUUUUUCAAUCCAGAAAAUAAAGUCCCAAACUAAUGUGGCACUCUUACAAUUUAAUCAUCAAUUCAUUGUGAACAACUGGAUGAGGAAAAGUUGCCCAGAGUUACCAAAAAUAAAAUUCUUUAGAAAGGAGAAAAGCCAUGCCUUAGGAAAUUGGUAGAAGAUAUGUGAUGGACACAGCAGCUUCUCAUCAAUUGACUUGGUUUUACGUUAAAGGAAACAUGCAAAUCUUUGUAGGUUAAACCACAUAUGAAAUUCAUGAGAGCCUCUUGGGCUUUAGGCACUGACUCUGUGGAAAUACUAGCUGUAAGCUGCUUUCUUAGGGAAGGGAUGUUUAUUCUGUCACGGUGCUACUGAAACAGCUCAAAGUUACCACCUUAGAAAUCUAGCUUUCACCAGGUACUUUAAAAUUCCUUUAAAAAAGUGUAUUUUAUUAAUUUCAUUCAUAAUUUAUUAGCCCUUAAAUUUUUCCAGUAGCAUUUGAUCUGCCAGAGCUUCCAAAUGUAGGAUAUUUUGUACUUCGAAUGCAAACUAGUUGUCUCUUGAAACUGGGUAAUGGGAAAAAUUUAGCACAGAAAUAUCCCUGUGACCAAGUUUCUGAGUAAACGUGCUAGGGGAUUCAGUUGGGUGCUAAGAAUACACGGAAGAAUACACUCAUGCAUCCCUCCUUUGAUUAAUGCAACAAAUAUUUAUUGUCUACUUCGUGUCAGACAUUGUUUGCUUCUUGCUUUAGGGAUUAAGCAGUGAACAAAGCUGUUGAGGACCUUGUCCUUAUGAAGCACAUGUCCAGAGUUAUGGGAAGCAGAAAGAAAAAAAAUACUGCAAAUACUUUAUAUUGUAUGUUGUAAAAUAAAGCAGGACAGGUGGAUCAUACCACUCCUUUGUUUAAAUUCGUCAUUUAUUUCUGUGACUUUAGGAGGGAGUCUAAAUCCCUUGCCUGUAUCCUGGCACUCUGUUUCUUCAGGCUUCUCUCUUGUUGCCCCCAUUCUUACUCAAGGCUGCAACUUUCUCUUUUCUUGGCUUGACCCUAGGACUUUUCAAAUAUACCUCUGAGACCCUUUAUCCUCUGCUCCAUCACUAUCUUGCCUACACCUGGCCAGCUCCCGCUGAACCUUACGUCUCAGCCUAAAUACUGCUCUUUUCAGGAAGUCCCAAAAUUCUCCCUCCAAGUCUGGUUGUGCAUUGUCAUGAGUGGUCCCUUACCACCUGGUACAUCCAUUCAUCUCUUAACAUGGCGCUUGUUGCCCUGUAUUAUGGCACUUGUGUGUGUUUUGUGUGUGUGUUGGGGGGAAGGUGUUGUUUUGUUCUGCUUUUGUUUGACUGGCACACAGUUCAUACUUGAUUAAUGGGUGAAUGGAUAGAUGACAGAGUGGAUGGAUGAAGGAAUGAAUGUGAUAAUGUAAUGUACUCUAUCUGAUACUGGACUUUUUAAGGCUGUAGAGACUCCCAUUCUUUGAGUUCACACCCAAUAGUCCUCCUUUUCCUAAUUCCUCUAACGGUGAGUAAAUUUUCUUAUUAGUGACUCACCAAUUUUUCCCGCAGCAGGUGGACAAAACCUCUUUAGUAGACUAGCCUUUCUUAAGCCAGUGGGGGGAGAAAAGAUUCUAUCUUUUAGGGAAUUGAAGGCUAUGAUGUAAUGUUAAUAGCAUAGGAGAGAGCAGAAGCUUUGCGUGUCUGAAGCAUGGCUCUGUGUUGAAAGCUCUUGAGAACACUAUGCCGGGGGUGCUUUUCUAAAUCAAACUUCAUCCAUGAAAUGUAAUUUGGGGAACUUUCCACGUGGCGCCGUGUGGACUCUGGCAGACAAUAGUAUUUUUAUUUGCUAGUAGUUUUCUUUCGGAGAGGGAGAGUGAUUUCGCUAUUUGGUUUUUUCUUCCAUUUAGUGCUGCAUAAUGCUUAUUAGAGACAAAAUCUUACUACUUCCCUGCUUCGCGUGCUGUAAGCUACCUAAAUGUGUUCUAAGUAUUGUCUUAGAGGGCGUGUGUGUGUGUGUGUGUGUGUGUGUGUGUGUGUGUGUGUGUGUGUGUGUGUGUGUUUAGGAAUUUGAGCCAGCCCCCACCAUUUUCCUGCCCUCCCUGAGGCUGCAGGACUUUAGGAUUUAUUGUAGCCACUCUUAGAAGGACAGUUGCAGUUGUGUCUGUAGAGAGAGCCUAUAAAUAUCAGGGCAUUUGGUAACUGAGAGUAGAGACAACUGUCAUAAUCAUGGGUUCUGCAAAGACUUGAGUCUGCUGGAAGCAGUGUCUUGGGGUCGGCAACAGGCCCUUCAGGAGGAUGGCUGGGGAGGGGUUUGGGGACAAUCAAAAGGACUAUAUUUUGCAACUCGCUUAUUUUCCUGAAAUGAAAUUCAUAGGUAAGUAUAGUCCUGCUAUGCACAUACUUUGCAAAAUCUAACAUAAUGAUCUACCUGUAAUAUAAUAUUCAUUUUAGCUUACAAAUGCUAAAAAUAACUAUAUUAGACAUAAUGAAGUAGUCAAAUGCUUGUACCUAACACAAUAAAUGUGUUUGGAUGUAAGAAAGUAAAAUCAUAUUCAACUGAAUAACGCUCAUGUUUUUGUAUAUGAGAUAUUUUGUAUAAGAGAUAUUCUAAAAUUUUCAUGUGUCCUAAAUCAGACUCAGCCUAAUUUUCUCACCACCCUUCUCCGUGUUACCCUCCAACUGGUUCCUAAACCAAUCUCUAAUCACUAUAGUGUGUCAAAAAUCCUGUGUUUCCUCUUCAUCUCACUCCUGCCCUACCCUCUCCUGCCUCUGAUUUAUGACAACAGCCGUCUAACUGGUUUGUCUGUCUCUAGGGUGUUUUAGAAAGUUGCGUGGUCACCACAGUAAUGGGGUGGUGAUGAGUAUUUGGUGAGUACUGGCCAGGAAUUCUAGAAAGCCUAACAUGCAUGGAGCAAUGCAUAGAACAGUGCAUGAAAAAGUGCAAAAAUGUCCUGGGUCCCACAUAACAUUUACUCAUCCUCUGUACCCUGUGGAGAUGAACUUUUAUAAUUACCUAAACCUAGAAAUUAAUUCUAGAAUCAAUCUGGGAACUUUUUAGUUUUUUGGGGAAACUUCUUUGUCAUUGAAUUUAUAUGCACAAAGUGGACUAAAUUAUUAUCUUAUAAAUCUGUUUCGUGACUGUGGUUAUUUCUCAUUUUUUUUCUUUCACUAUACUUGCCUAGGUAACUAACGCAUGGAUUAUACAUUUUAAUGUGUGUUCAUUUUUCAAAGAGCCAGCUUUUAAUGUAUGUAUUAGCUCCAUUACUUUUCUGUUUCUGAUUCAUUGAUUGGAUUUUAUUUAUAGAAUUUGCUUUCUUCUACUUUCUUUAAGAGUAAUUUGAAGUUCCUUUCUAAAUUCUUAUUUUUCUUUUUUUUCCUGUUUAGUAAUUUUUGUUUUAAACUAUGAAUUUUCUUCUGACUUGUGGUUAUAUUAAAAUUUUAUUUAUCAUUAGUUUUUAGGGAUUUUGCAGUGUUGGAUUUAAUUUCCAUGUUGGAUUUCUCAUGAGUUAAGAGAUAUUCUAAAAUUUUCAUGUGGCAAAGAUUUAUUUUCCUAUUUUUGUUAUUAAUUUCUAAUUUUAAUGCAUUAUGAUCAAAGAAUAUGAUCUAUACUAUUCCUAUGUUUUGAAACUGAGGUUUCCUAUGUGGCCUGCUGUGGAUUGAAUUGUAAAAUAUGUUACAGUUCUAAUCCCUUGGUACCUGUGAAUAUGACCUUAUUUGGAAAUAAGGUCUUUGCAUAUAUAAUCAAGUAAAGAUGAUGUCAUAAGUCAAAAAGUAACUGAGACAGGUCUCAAUCAAUUUUGAAGUUUAUUUUGCCAAGGUUAAGGAUUAUGACCUAUUAGGAGGUCCUAGGAACAUUGGCCGAAGGUGGUUGGGUUACAUCUUGGUUUUAUGUGUUUUAGGGAACAUAAGACAUCAAUCAAUAUGUAUGAAAUAUACAUUGGUUUAAUAAGGAAAGGCAGGACAACUUGAAGUGGCAGGGCUUACUGGUCGUAGGUGGAUUCAAAGAUUUUCUGAUUAGCAAUUGGUUGAAAGGGUGAAGCUGUGCCUGAAGAGUUGAAACUAGCCUGAGUUAAGGCAAGUUGGGAGGGCUAGAGAAGCCUAGGUUCUUGUUAUGUAGAUGAAGCCUCUGGGUAGCAGGCUUCAGAGAGAAUAGAUGUGAACAUCUCUUAUCAAAGGUGUCAGGCUCUCUGGAGAGACCUAGUAAAGGAAGGAGAAUCUCUAUAGAGUGUAAAACUUCCUCCACAAGAGACAGGUUUGCAGUGCUAUUUCAAAAUAUGUUUUUUCUUUCAGGACUUUGCUGUCAUGUAAUGCUGUACUAGAGACAGGUUAGAAUUUGGUAUCUUAUGGCUAUAAAGAGUCUGUUCUGUCAGUCUUAGGAUCUCUGUUAUAAUGUUAAUGCUGGUCAAUUUUGUGCCUGAAUUCCAAAAAGAGGAGAGUAUAAUGAGUCAUGUUCAACAUCCCCUGCCCCACUCCACCAUCCCAUCAUGAUCCAAACUAGAUUUUCAGGUUUCUUUGGAUCCCCUUGGUUGAGACGAGGGUCCAUUCAGUCUGUGCGUGGGGUUAGAAUUUUAUUUUUGGAACACAAUAUCAUACUGCCAUACUGGAUUGGAUUUAAUAACUAGUCUAAUCCAAUAACUGGUGUUCUUUUAAGAAAAGGGAAACUUGGACACAGAGAUACACACAGCAAACACUAUGUGACAAUAGAGACAGAGAUUCUAGUGAUGUAUCCACAAACCGAGGAAGGCCCAGGAUUCCUGGCAAUCACCGGAAGCCAGGAAGAGGCAAGGAAGGGUCCUCCUCUAGAGCCUUCAGAGAGAGCACGGCCCUGCUGACACUGAGAGAAUAAAUUUCUAUUGGUUGAAGCCACAUAGCUUGUGAUUCUUUGUUAUGACAGCCCUAGGCAACUAAUAUGUAGCCUAAUAAGACAUGGCCAAACUUUGUAGAUGAAAGGAGCUUGAAAGGGAGGUAUAUAUUUUUCCAUGUGAGGAUCUACCUUCUUAAUUAUGUUAAGUCCUCUAUGUCUUUUCUUAUUUUUGGUUUAUUUGAGUUAUCAAAGACAGAGAGAUAAAUUAAACUUAUUUAUGGCUACUGUCUCUCUAUUUUUCCUUAUAUUUUAAUAAUUUUUGCUUUAAGAAUGUAGAUGUGAUGCUAUUUGAUGUAGAUGCAUUAGGCUCAGAAUUUCAUUGUGGGUUGCAUUUACUUAUUAUUACCAUAAAGUUCUAUUCCUCGAAUUCAACCAUGCCUAACAUUAAUAUCCUUAAUAUCCUGACCCCUGCUUUACUUUUAUUUUCAUUUGCUUACUGUAUUUUCCCAUCCUAAAAGGAUGGAAAUGAUACUUCCAAUUUUUUGAGUAACUUUUCUUACAUAUUAUAUCACUUUUUUGAGUUUAGACUUCUUAAAAUCCAAUUAGAGUCCUUUAAAGAAGUGAAUGUGUCUGACUUUUAUUUAUCUGACAUACAUGUUUGGUUUCUCUUAUAUCAUCUUAAAUUGUUUUAUUACAGUAGUCACCCCUUUUCCACAGGGGAUACAUUCCAGGAUCCCCAAUGGAUGUCUGAAACUGCUUAUAAUACUGAACUCUAUAUAUACUGUACUAUCGUUUCUCCUAUACAAUCACAUUGUAGAGGGUGGGUAGCGUAUCAAACAUGACUAUGCUGGACAAAGGGAUGAUUCAUGUUCCAGGCAAGAUAGAGCAGGAUGAAGCAGGAUGGUAUAAGAUUUCAUCACACUACUCAGAAUGGUGUUCAAUUGAAAACUUAGGAAUUACUUAUUUCUGGAAUUUUCCAUUUAAUAUUUUUGGACCUAGGUUGACCCAGUAGGUGAAACCUUGGAAAAUAAAGCCAUGGAUAAGGGGGGACUGCUGUAUAUGUUUUCUUUUGAAAUAUUUUGCUCUGUUGGUGUUUUCUCUAUUUUCUUUUGUGUGUUUUCUCAUAGCGAGGAAGUUUUACAGCCUACUUUUAGUUAUUUGUGCAUAGGCAUUCUCUGUGGUUUGUGUACAUGCCUUGGUGUGUGUAGGUAGUAAGGUGAAAGAGCCUGUGUGAAAGAAUAAAGAUGUAAGAGAAUUUGAUGUGCUCCAGGAAUGGCAAAAAGAUCUCGAUAACUAGAGCACAGGCUGUGUCAUGGUACAUUAGCCUGGAGAGCUAGGCAGAAGGCAGGCCAUUGUGAAUCUCCUUAGAUGUUUGAGAACCACUGAAAGAUUCUGAGCAGGUGUGAAACAAAAACAAACCAGUGAGCAAACUCUCUGGCAGCCAAAUGGAAGAUGGUUGAGGCUAGGGUGAGAGGAGUGACUAGAAGCAGGUCAACAAAUUAGAUCUCCAUCAUAUUAUCUCAGGUGAGAGGUAAUGAGAGCUUGUGUGAAGCCUAUGAUAGCACAGGUUGAGAGAAAAGAGUAUGUAACAGGUACAAAAGAUUGUAGGUUGAUUAUACACGGAGGUUGGGUAGAGAAAGGGACUAUCUAAGGUAACUCCAGGUUCAUGGACAUGUAAGUGGACUAUAGUUCUAUUCAUUGGGAUAAGGACCUAGAAGGAUGGGCAAGUUUAAAGAAAACAUGCUGAGUUCAGGUCUGAACAGGAUGAAUUACAAUCACCUGUGGGAUACCCAGUACUAGCUAAUUGGCAGUGGAAAUCAAGGCUGGAAUAUAAAGCUGGGAACCCUUUGGGUAUGAGUGGCAGCUGAAGCCAUGGUUUGGGAUAAAGCUACAAGAGAAAGUAGCUGUGCUCAAGUAGUAGCUUAGCUGUGCUCUCCAAUACAGCAGCCACUAGUUGCAUGUGGCUAUUCCAAUUUAACCAUGAGUUAAUUAAACUGAAAUAAAAUUAAAAAUUCAGCUCCUCAGCUGCACAAGCCACAUUUCAAGAGCUCAAAGACUGCAUAUGGCUUGCAGCUACCAUAUGGGACAGCACAGAUUAUAGAACAUCAUCAAAGAAAGUCCUAUUGGACAGCUCUGGUACAGAGUGAAAAGGGAGAGGUUCAACAUAUAUCAGGACCCUGUUGUUAUUGAUAACUAGGUGUUUAUUAAAAAAGAAGAGUCCAAUGAAACAGGCAGAGAAGGAGUGUCCAUCCAUUGAAUGUCUUUGAAUGGGCUGAGCAUGAGAUGCUUUUCUUGCAUUAUCCCUAAUCCCCAAACUGCCCUAUAAUGUUGGUAAUAUUAAUUAUUUUUAUUGAAAGUUGUCAAGAUUAAUGCCUCAAGAUCCCAGACUAGUAAGUAGCAGAGCUGGAAUUGUAACCCAAAUGCAUGUAGUAUCCUAAAUUCAGUAACAUUUCAAUUGCCCCAGGUUGCCUGUCCUGAGAAAACUCAAAGACAAUGGUGCCAAGGAAGAACAGAAUUUCAUAAAUGAAGAAUGACAGAUGGCACUAAGAGUUCAAGUAAGAAGAGUCUUGGAGAUUCUCAGCAAACAAUCUCAGUUAAGAAAGAGGAAAUGAAGUUAUUUAUGUGACUGAAUUUGCAUAGCAGAGACUACAGUUCCACCAAAUACUCGAUGAGAAAAUGAGUCUCGACUUGCAGAGCCAAGAUGACCAAAUAGGAACAGCUCCAGUCUACAGCUCCCAGCCUGAGCGACGCAGAAGAUGGGUGAUUUCUGCAUUUCCAUCUGAGGUACCGGGUU
rnacentral:lncRNA from 1 species